GAUUUUACCAAAACUGAAUUUUUUCCUACUGAUCGGUAGCGAGCUCUAUCGUCCCCCAGUCAGUUGUGUGACAAGUUCCAUUCGGUGUGUACCCGUCUUCAUUUUUUCAGUUCUUCACUUUGAGGCGAUUUUGAAGAUAACAUUUACAUCACUGGACAGUAAAUAGGGAUAUUACGCAAUAUAUAGGUGAACUUAUGCGGUAUGACGGACAAAAUCUUAAGUUAAUACUCUAAGUUUUAAUUGACAACUCGUCAACCUUGAAGUAACUUUAACGAGGACUAAAUUAUAAAUAUUAAAUCGCGUACAUAACCACCACAUUAUCGUAAAUGCAACAUUUUUCAACUGAUCGAAUUUUAAUAACGUCCAAAAGGAACUGUUUGGUGCCAAAAAAUGUCAGCAUGUUAGUAUA
rnacentral:misc_RNA from 1 species